CGCUCGACAUCAGAGUUUGAUCCUGGCUCAGGAUGAACGCUGACAGAAUGCUUAACACAUGCAAGUCGACUCGAGUCUUCGGACUUGGGUGGCGCACGGGUGAGUAACGCGUAUGUAACCUGCCUGUCAGAAGGGGAUAACCCGGUGAAAGUCGGACUAAUACCCUAUAUGCUCACGAUGGUGAAAUUCCAAUGUGAGGAAAGAUUUAUCGCUUCGGGAGGGGGGUGCGUCCUAUCAGGUAGUUGGUAAGGUAACAGCUUACCAAGCCUAUGACGGGUAACCGGUCUGAGAUGAUGUCCGGUCGCGAUGGGACUGAGAUACGGCCCAU
rnacentral:rRNA from 1 species